rfam:Thalassiosira oceanica strain CCMP1005 To_g03808, whole genome shotgun sequence.
CAACAGGAUUUUAUAAAAUCCACCCAACGUGCAGAGAAACAUUCAU